UUGUUAAGUAGGGCAAAAGGUAUUACAACGCCAAAAAUUUGCGGAAUGCUCUCGAAACCGAUUAACUUGAGUGAGACAAGGAGAGUGAAAUUUCAUGUGUAGGGUUAAAAUCCGGAGAUCUACGAAGGAAUGCCAAAAGCAAAGGCAGCUCUCUAGGUCCUUAUUGAUGUGAUAGCCUGGGGAGCAAUCAUAAUAAGAUAUCUUGGUAGUCCAUGCUGUGUGUGUUCUCGCUGGAUGUAUGGUAGACACAUGUCAUGAGUUCGAAGCCUAGUUGGCGAAU
rnacentral:ncRNA from 1 species